rnacentral:rRNA from 1 species
AUUGAACGCUGGCGGCAUGCCUUACACAUGCAAGUCGAACGGAUCAGAAGGGCUUGCUCUUCUGGUUAGUGGCGAACGGGUGAGUAAUGCAUCGGAACGUACCCAGUCGUGGGGGAUAACGUAGCGAAAGUUACGCUAAUACCGCAUACGACCUGAGGAUGAAAGCGGGGGACCUUCGGGCCUCGCGCGAUUCGAGCGGCCGAUGUCGGAUGAGCUAGUUGGUGAGGUAAAGGCUCACCAAGGGGACGGUCCGUAGCUGGUCUGAGAGGACGACCAGCCACACUGGGACUGAGACACGGCCCAGACUCCUACGGGAGGCAGCAGUGGGGAAUUUUGGACAAUGGGCGAAAGCCUGAUCCAGCCAUGCCGCGUGAGUGAAGAAGGCCUUCGGGUUGUAAAGCUCUUUCAGACGGAAAGAAAUCUUCUGGGUGAAUAUCCCGGGAGGAUGACGGUACCGUAAGAAGAAGCACCGGCUAACUACGUGCCAGCCGCCGCCGUAA